ACACAGAGGGAUACAACGAUGACAGUGUGUGUGUGUGUGUGUGUGUUUGUGUGUGGUAACGGGUUAAUACAGAUAACACAUAUAAAAUAAUAAGCUUUUGCAGCCAUGCCAACAAAUGAGGGAUUCUGAAAGGUAUUGUAACAAGGCAAAAAUCAAUUUAACUUUAAAGAAUCAACUUUUCCUCUUCUUUUCCUCAGACUUCACCAGAAUUGAAAUGGUCAUACUGACAGUUCUUACACCAGAGGCUGCUGAGGCAACUUGAAGGGUGUUGUCCACGGAAAUCAGGUCACAAGAGGAGAUGGAGCCAAUCAAAGCUGUCAUCAGGAGUAGAGGAGGCAUCCUCUGCCUCAGGGGAUCCCUUGCUGGUGGUGGGGUCGACCUGGGAGAACUUUAGCAUGUCGAGGACACUGGUUUUGACAUCCUCGAAUGUUUCUUUCACUCCCUUCUGCAGGAUAUAGCCCUCACUGUCAUCCUCUGGGUUCUCCAGGGCCAUGGCUCCUUCCACAGCCGUCUGCAGAAGAGCGUUGCUCACGUGGCCCACCUGUAUUAUGAUGACGGACAGCACACCGGGGCCAGUUGAAUUCAUCAGACCCAUGUAGUAGUCAGUCAAAGCCUGCCUGCAGCCCUGGGUGUACAAGUUGAGCUCUUCU